rnacentral:rRNA from 1 species
AGCAGCCGCGGUAAUUCCAGCUCCAAUAGCGUAUAUUAAAGUUGUUGCAGUUAAAAAGCUCGUAGUUGAAUUUCGGGGUCAGUAAGUUGGUCGUGCCACUGGUAUGUACUGGCUUUACUGAUUCCUCCUUCUUGUAGAACCGUAAUGCCAUUAAGUUGGUGUUGCGGGAAAACAGGACUGUUACUUUGAAAAAACUUAGAGUGUUUAAAGCAAGCUAACGCUUGAAUACAUUAGCAUGGAAUAAUGAAAUAGGACGAACGAUCCUAUUUUGUUGGUUUCUAGGAUUGACGUAAUGAUUAAUAGGGGUAGUUGGGGGCCAUUAGUAUUCAAUUGUCAGAGGUGAAAUUCUUGGAUUUAUUGAAGACUAACUACUGCGAAAGCAUUUGCCAAGGAUGUUUUCAUUAAUCAAGAACGAAAGUUGA